rnacentral:lncRNA from 1 species
GAUAGCACAGUUGUAAUCAAAGCUUCAAACCUUGGGCAUUUGAUGCCAAUAGCUAUACUCUUAACCGCUGUGAUCUUCUCUCCCAUGGACAGGACGGUCCUGGGCUUUACUGUUACAGAGGAAGUUGGACAAGAAACAAAUAAAUGAACAAGCAAGAGAACUGUCUGAGAGAGAUUGUAUACAAGUGUUGUGAAGAGACUUAAAAUAUGCAGGCUGGAUAAGGAGUACUGAGGUUUGGGCUGGUGCUCUGAAAGACUUUCUGUCCUGAGGCCGUUUUCCAGCACAAUUUCACAGUUUCUCACUCAAAGGAGAAUAGAAUCCAACAAACAUAUUGUAACCAAUACACUAAAAAUUAUGUGGAUGUGGAAUCAAGAAAUAUAAUGUCAUGUUCCUAGAUGAAAGGCACAAUCCUGGAGGGGCUACCAGUGCCAUCACAAGCUCCUUCCAGAUGUGAUGACUCUCCUCUGCUGAAGUCUAGGUUGUCGUAACACGCUGGAGUGUGCUGUCCAUGGUGCUGAGGAGCCAGUGCCAAAUAUACCCCUGCUACAAAAUCCUCUCCCUUCUGGCCAAGUGAUCGAUUAGAUGGAGCAGCAUCAAACUCUGCAUUUCAGAGCUUUGCAGGGGCCUGGAGACGGCUAUAAAAG